UAGGCAGAAGCCUGUUGGUUGGGGCAUGUAGCUGUUAACUAUAUUUUCAUGGGAUCGAAGCCCAUCUGCCUAG
rnacentral:tRNA from 1 species